rnacentral:rRNA from 1 species
UAUUAGAUACCCGUGUAGUCCCAGCCGUAAACGAUGCUCGCUAGGUGUCAGGCAUGGCGCGACCGUGUCUGGUGCCGCAGGGAAGCCGUGAAGCGAGCCACCUGGGAAGUACGGCCGCAAGGCUGAAACUUAAAGGAAUUGGCGGGGGAGCACAACAACGGGUGGAGCCUGCGGUUUAAUUGGACUCAACGCCGGACAACUCACCGGGGACGACAGCAAUAUGUAGGCCAGGCUGAAGACCUUGCCUGAAUCGCUGAGAGGAGGUGCAUGGCA